UACGGAGGGGGCGAGCGUUAUUCGGAAUUACUGGGCGUAAAGGGCGCGUAGGCGGCCUUGCAAGUCGAAGGUGAAAUCCCCGGGCUCAACCUGGGAACGGCCUUCGAUACUGCUCGGCUAGAGUCCGGGAGGGGGUAGCGGAAUUCCCAGUGUAGCGGUGAAAUGCGUAGAUAUUGGGAGGAACACCGGUGGCGAAGGCGGCUACCUGGACCGGUACUGACGCUGAGGCGCGAAAGCGUGGGGAGCAAACAGG
rnacentral:rRNA from 1 species